rnacentral:rRNA from 1 species
CUUGAAACACGGACCAAGGAGUUUAUCGUGUACGCAAGUCAUUGGGUGAAUAAAACCCAAAGGCGAAAUAAAAGUAAAGAGUUGAGUUUAUAAAAGAAAGUUUUCUUUUUUUUAUAUCUCUCUUGAGGGAAGAUGAAAAUUUAAUUAAUAAUAUAUUAUAUUGUUAAUAUAAAUUUUUCGCAUUCCCAGGGCGCUUGUUUCACGCUUUGCGUGUCAAUGCGCACCUAGAGCGUACACGCUGAUACCCGAAAGAUGGUGAACUAUGCCUGGCCAGGACGAAGCCAGGGGAAACCCUGGUGGAGGUCCGCAGCGAUUCUGACGUGCAAAUCGAUCGUCGGAGCUGGGUAUAGGGGCGAAAGACCAAUCGAACCAUCUAGUAGCUGGUUCCCUCUGAAGUUUCCCUCAGGAUA